rnacentral:rRNA from 1 species
UACAGAGGAGGCAAGCGUUAUUCGGAAUUAUUGGGCGUAAAGGGCGCGUAGGCGGCCUGGCAAGUGGAAGGUGAAAUCCCUCGGCUUAACCGAGGAACUGCCCUCCAAACUGCUUGGCUUGAGUCCGGGAGAGGUGAGUGGAAUUCCCAGUGUAGCGGUGAAAUGCGUAGAUAUUGGGAGGAACACCAGUGGCGAAGGCGGCUCACUGGACCGGAACUGACGCUGAGGCGCGAAAGCGUGGGGAGCAAACGGG